rnacentral:lncRNA from 1 species
GAGACCAAGGAGAGAGCUUGAUUAUUAGGAUAAGACCAAAUAGAACCUCAAAAGACUCGUAGGUAUCAAGAAAUGCUUAGACUACAUAUUUUAAGGCUGUAAGGAAUGAAAAAGAUAAGAAAAAUUUUAUGUGGAGAAGUGAAGAGAAAGCACACAACUAAAUGAAUUCGUGCGCGCAUGAAGGGAGCAUGCGCAUAGCCAGCUCGUGCAUAUGUCGCGCACGCAGAGGCGCAUGCUAUGAACAUAUAGACUCGCACUCUAGGGGAAAGAGUCGUACCUUUAGAUAGACUCCUAUAAGAUGGAGGCCCAGCCCAAUUGGCGACUUUAUACAUAAAUUAUGUCCAAGAAGGUCUAGGGCAAUCGGUUUAAGAGGCUAGAGCCCAAGAAUUGAACCCUUAUAGACCUUGUUUCCAAGAUACGUUCCAUGAGGAGCUUUUCAAGCCAAGUCAAGAGAAACCAAGGUGUGCAAGCCUAUGGUCGAG